rnacentral:rRNA from 1 species
UACAGAGGUCUCAAGCGUUGUUCGGAAUUAUUGGGCGUAAAGGGCGCGUAGGCGGUGCGGUAAGUCUGUAGUGAAAUCUCUGGGCUCAACCCAGAGUCUGCUGCAGAAACUGCCGUGCUUGAGUGUGGGAGAGGUGAGUGGAAUUCCCGGUGUAGCGGUGAAAUGCGUAGAUAUCAGGAGGAACACCUGUGGCGAAAGCGGCUCACUGGACCAUAACUGACGCUGAUGCACGAAAGCUAGGGGAGCAAACAGG